GCUGGGCGUGGUGGUGCGUGCCUGUAGUCCCAUCUACUCGGGAGGCUGAGGUGGGAGGAUCGCUUGAGCCCAGGAGUUCAGGGCUGUAGGCAGAAUGCCGAUGAGGUGUCCGCACCAAGUUCGGCAUCAAUAUGGUGACUUCCAGGAGCAGGGGAACACCAGGUUGCCUCAGGAGGGGUGAACCAACCCAGGCUGGAAACGGAGCAGGUCAAAAUUCCCAUGCUCAUCAGCAGUGGGAUUGCGAUAGCCACUGCACUCCAGCCUGGGCAACAUGUUUCUACUA
ensembl:misc_RNA Metazoa_SRP Metazoan signal recognition particle RNA